rnacentral:rRNA from 1 species
AUACAUCGGAACGUGCCCGAUCGUGGGGGAUAACGGAGCGAAAGCUUUGCUAAUACCGCAUACGAUCUACGGAUGAAAGCAGGGGACCGCAAGGCCUUGCGCGGACGGAGCGGCCGAUGGCAGAUUAGGUAGUUGGUGGGAUAAAAGCUUACCAAGCCGACGAUCUGUAGCUGGUCUGAGAGGACGACCAGCCACACUGGGACUGAGACACGGCCCAGACUCCUACGGGAGGCAGCAGUGGGGAAUUUUGGACAAUGGGCGAAAGCCUGAUCCAGCCAUGCCGCGUGCAGGAUGAAGGCCUUCGGGUUGUAAACUGCUUUUGUACGGAACGAAAAGCCUCUUUCUAAUAAAGAGAGGUCAUGACGGUACCGUAAGAAUAAGCACCGGCUAACUACGUGCCAGCAGCCGCGGUAAUACGUAGGGUGCGAGCGUUAAUCGGAAUUACUGGGCGUAAAGCGUGCGCAGGCGGUGAUGUAAGACAGAUGUGAAAUCCCCGGGCUCAACCUGGGAACUGCAUUUGUGACUGCAUCGCUGGAGUGCGGCAGAGGGGGAUGGAAUUCCGCGUGUAGCAGUGAAAUGCGUAGAUAUGCGGAGGAACACCGAUGGCGAAGGCAAUCCCCUGGGCCUGCACUGACGCUCAUGCACGAAA